CCUACGGGUGGCUGCAGUGGGGAAUAUUGGACAAUGGGCGAAAGCCUGAUCCAGCCAUGCCGCGUGUGUGAAGAAGGCCUUCGGGUUGUAAAGCACUUUCAGUGGGGAAGAAAGCCUUGGGGCUAAUACCCUCGAGGAAGGACAUCACCCACAGAAGAAGCACCGGCUAACUCCGUGCCAGCAGCCGCGGUAAUACGGAGGGUGCGAGCGUUAAUCGGAAUUACUGGGCGUAAAGCGCGCGUAGGCGGUCUGAUAAGCCGGUUGUGAAAGCCCCGGGCUCAACCUGGGAACGGCAUCCGGAACUGUCAGGCUAGAGUGCAGGAGAGGAAGGUAGAAUUCCCGGUGUAGCGGUGAAAUGCGUAGAGAUCGGGAGGAAUACCAGAGGCGAAGGCGGCCUUCUGGACUGACACUGACGCUGAGGUGCGAAAGCGUGGGUAGCAAACAGGAUUAGAUACCCUGGUAGUC
rnacentral:rRNA from 1 species